UCAGGACUCUCAAGUCCCGUAAAUGUCUUUGAUCCUUCGAGCCGGAUUAUGUGUCAAGUGAAAAGUCCACACCAGUGACACCCACUACCAUACAGUGCCACGUGAAUCCAUCACGUCCAAGCUGGACAAUCAUUAUCACAACGAGUUCCAACAAGUUCAACCUCAGACUCGCAUCAUUACGAGGGUCAACUACACCUAUACCACGAAGUACAUCUUGCGAAAAGCCACGCCUUGUAACAAGCAACAACUUGCCGCUGGAGCAAGCCUGCGUCGAAGCAGUUCCAGUUUCGCAACAACAAGUCUGUGUACGUGCUGGCUGCUCUACUUUCCAAGGAAAGAAACAGAAUGACGGCAAAGGCGGUGUGAACGUGGAAUGAAGAAAAUAACUAUGAGUGAAGCUAACCGUGGUUACAAAA
rnacentral:misc_RNA from 1 species